CUCCAGCCUCAAGCUCAUCAAAUGCUAAGCCCUGCCCCAAUUGUAGCACCCAUUGCCAAGUGCUUGUCUGAAAUGCAGGGCCAGGGAAUGCGGUAUUCUGGUUAACGAUUCAAUUGAAAGAGAGAGAAUAUAAAAGAUGUUGAUGUUCCUGAGAUUCACUCUGGGUCUAUGAGGAACAUUUCUCCCACUGAGUUUUCCCUCUGCCCAGGAGAUCUGUAAGUUUUCUCUGCUCUUGGACUUUUCCUAUGCUCCACCUCAAUCGAAGCUGUCUCUGCAUUUUGCAGUCGAACCACAGAUGUUUCCAUCCUAAAGCACUAAGAUAUAUAUGGAAGUUGUGCAAGGAACGUGCUGCCUCAGUCUCUGAUCUGUGUGGGGCUUGGGAAUGGGGAAGCAAGAGCCAGCCCUCCAGGCAGAGGGAAGAAAGCAAGGACAAAGUCCCCAAGGCAAGAAGGAGUUUGGCAUCUUUUGGAAUAAACAAGUUUUCCCUGGCUGUAGCCAUGGACACAGGAAAGGUGGUGCGGUCAGAGAGCUAGAGCAGCCCAAUCAUGGAAGGUUGUCCAGGCCGAGGCUAGGAAUUUAGAUUUCAAUAUAAAUUCAUUGGGAAGACACAGUUGAGUUUUAAGCAGUGAACUGAC
rnacentral:lncRNA from 1 species